AUCAAUUCACAGCCUUUUGGUUACAACCAAGUGCAGUAUCUGUUCUUUCCAGUUUAAUAUUUGAUGUCUUCUAUCUGAAGACAAUAUAGUAAAUAGAAUUUGGGGGCUGAGAGAUGAAAUAGGGACUUGCUCCACCCAUUUCAUAUAUUAACCUGGUGUUGCAGUACCUGCAUGAUCAUCAAAAUAUUU
rnacentral:snRNA from 1 species